GGGCCCUGUUCAAAGUAGUGCACUAUAUAGGGAAUAGGGUGCCAUAGGGCCCUGUUCAAAGUAGUGCACUAUAUAGGGAAUAGGGUGCCAUUUGGGAGGCAUGCGGUCUUUUUCUCCAUGGAGGGUUUACUGUUGAAACCAUCAUCUAGUCCCUUUAGUCAAAAACCUUUAAAGAUAUAGGUUAUCCCAUGGUAAUAAUAAUGAUACUGGUACAGAUGUUGUUUUUAUAGAUAUAGGUUAUCCCAUGGUAAUAAUAAUGAUACUGGUACAGAUGUUGUUUUUAUAGAUAUAGGUUAUCCCAUGGUAAUAAUAAUGAUACUGGUACAGAUGUUGUUUUUAUAGAAAUUACAGUAUAUCUAUUGAUAUAGUUGCUGACUUUUAUAUUAUGGGAGAGAUUAAAAAAAUAUUUAAAAAAUGUCUAUAUUUACCUUCUCUAUUUUACCUUCUGUGUUUCGUUUGUUUUUUUCUCUCCAGAAAUUACAAGACUAUGAUUAUUUGUACCCGAUGAAAACUGAACAAACAAAAAAUAUAUAUAUAUAAAUAUAUAAACCAACAAUGUAUUAAUGGAGACGUUUGAGCUGUGCAACGAAGGUGUUCUCUUAAAACACAAAAUACACAACUGUCAUGUUUUAGUUGUAGGCUACAACACCAACGGUUUGGGAAAAAAGCUUUUCUGGUUGUCUUUAUGGAGUCGUCAUAUCCAGAUGGAUCAUGACACACUACAAGUAAUGCAAUCAUAAUGUACAUACUAUCAUGGUAUUUUUUUGGGGGGGGUCGGCUGUACUAUCUUACCGACAGACACACAGCCUGUACACGGUCUUCACUACUACUAGGCUGUAGAACAUGUCAGUGUCCUGUACGCUGCUGAUGUUUGUUAGACUUUUUAUGUUUACAUUGACUUGUCUUUCAUUUGGGUUUUGAUAUCAUUUGUAAUGUGACCUCCUUUGUAAUGUUAUUUUCUAGAACUCAGCCUUUACCACUUUGAAAAAAAAAAACGGUUUGAUUAAUUAGAAAUAUAUAUGACUUGGGAAAAAAAAAAAGAUGACGUUUAUGUAAAUAUGAAAAAUGAAGCUGUUGUUGAUUUAAAGUGCUCCAGGGGCGGCGAGAGGAAACGCCCAGUUCACCUCACGUAGCUAAAUACUUCCUUACACCCCUCUUUUCUUCCUGAUAUCCUCCCUCCCUCCUUUCCUCCCACCCUCCCUCCUUUCCUCCCUCCUUUCCUCCCUCUUUUCCUCCCUACUUUCCUCCCUACUUUCCUCCCUACUUUCACUCCCCUCCCUCCUUUCCUCCCUCCUUCCCCCCCCCCUCCCUCCUUUCCUCCCCCUCCCUCCCUCCCCAUCCCUCCCUCCUUUCCUCCCUCCUUUCCUCCCCCCUCCCUCCCCCCUCCCUCCCUCCUUUCCUCCCCCUCCCUCCCUCCCCAUCCCUCCCUCCUUUCCUCCCUCCUUUCCUCCCCCCUCCCUCCCCCCUCCCUCCCUCCUUUCCUCCUUUCCUUCCCUCCCUCCUUCCUCUCUCCUUUCCUCCCUCCUUUCCUCCCCCCUCCCUCCUUUCCUCCCCCCUCCCUCUCUCCUUUCCUCCCUCCUAUCCUCCCUCCUUUCCUCCCUCCUUUCCUCCCUCCUUUCCUCCUCCUUCCCUCCCUCCCUCCCCCCUCCCUCCCUCCUUUCCUCCCUCCUAUCCUCCCUCCUUUCCUCCCUCCUUUCUUCCUACACCUUGUUUACAUAUGAACCUGAUCAGAGGUGUUUGUCUCCGUUUUGUAUUUAUAAGAAGAAUAACAAAUAUUCAGAAAUGCAAAAGGCAGUGGCAUCUGCAGGUUGUGGGGUUUAGCACCAUCCUGCAGGUUGUGGGGUUUAGCACCAUCCUGCAGGUUCUGGGGUUUAGCACCAUCCUGCAGGUUCUGGGGUUUAGCACCAUCCUGCAGGUUCUGGGGUUUAGCACCAUCCUGCAGGUUCUGGGGUUUAGCACCAUCCUGCAGGUUGUGGGGUUUAGCACCAUCCUGCAGGUUGUGGGGUUUAGCACCAUCCUGCAGGUUCUGGGGUUUAGCACCAUCCUGCAGGUUGUGGGGUUUAGCACCAUCCUGCAGGUUCUGGGGUUUAGCACCAUCCUGCAGGUUCUGGGGUUAAGUCCCAUCCUGUUGGCAGGUUGUGGGGUUUAGCACCAUCCUGCAGGUUCUGGGGGUUAAGUCCCAUCCUGUUGGCAGGUUGUGGGGUUUAGCACCAUACUGCAGGUUCUGGGGUUAAGUCCCAUUCUGUCUGCAGGUUGUGGGGUUUAGCACCAUACUGCAGGUUCUGGGGAUAAGUCCCAUCCUGUUGGCAAGUUGUGGGAUUUAGCACCAUACUGCAGGUUCUGGGGAUAAGUCCCAUUCUGUUGGCAGGUUGUGGGGUUUAGCCCCAUCCUGCAGAUUCUGGGGGUUAAGUCCCAUUCUGUCUGCAGGUUAUGGGAUUUAGCACCAUCCUGCAGGUUCUGGGGGUUAAGCCCCAUCCUGUUGGCAGGUUGUGGGGUUUAGCACCAUCCUGCAGGUUCUGGGGGUUAAGCCCCAUCCUGUUGGCAGGUUGUGGGGUUUAGCACCAUCCUGCAGGUUCUGGGGGUUAAGACCCUGCCCUGUGUUUGCUGAACCAUCAGUGGGCAUGGCAACACGUAUCCUGGCUACACCACCGCGUGUCUCUUUCCCUACCCUCUACAUCCUCUGCUUCCAUAGGUGUUGUGAUGAGAUACCCCCUCCCCUGUCCUUGUAUGUGCAUGCACUAUGGUUCUUCCACUUAACAAUAACAAUCAAUAAAGUUUGUCAAGAUAA